ensembl:lncRNA
AGUACACUAAACAAUUUCCAGAAGACUAAACGACACCAUCAUCAGAUCAAACAACAGUUCCAGUGUUCAGCCAUGGUGUUGUUUGAGGAUCAAGAAUGUGGGGUCUGUUACCUGCGUUACUCCCGCAUCGACCGCGUUCCCAGAACUCUCCACUGCAACCACACAUUCUGCACCACCUGUCUGGAGACAAUGGGGCUGCAGUCCAGCGGCCUGCGCACCAUUCGCUGUCCCCUCUGUCGCCAGGUGACUUGUGUGGACCGUGGGCUCAGCUUGCAGGAGGCUCUGUUUGUCAAUAGCCAAGUGUGGGACAACAUUUGCGAUGAGCAAGAGGAGGAAGAGGACGAGAGAGAGCAGGAAAAAGAGGAAGAGGGGAAAAACACUAAUAUGCAGGUGCUGCCCUCAUCACAGGCUGAAUGUCCAGUGCGAAAACAAUACAGACCCAAACUCAGACUCCCGUCUUUCCUGAAGAAAAUGAGUUUUUCCAGGCACCCCGAAGAGAGGAUUGUUCCCACCUGCAAUGUAGAAAUGAUGUCAUGGAGAAGGAUUUCAUCAGAAGAGAUUUUUUGAAAAGGGCAACAGACACCAUAAACAAAGGAUUAGCAAUACAAACAAUAGACUUUCACCCGCUUUUUGCUUCGGUCAUAUGCUAAUUAUGCCUGGCGUACUGAAAAAGCGGGAGCAACAGUCAGUCCUGGACAAGGUUGUUUAAACAAAUUCAAACCCCUCCAUGUGCUUCUGCGACUACAUUUUCCACUUGAAUAGCCACAAGUCCGAAUCCUGCUCCUCCAUCUGAGGGGAACUUCUCAUUAGAUAUUCCACCCUUAAUCCGUCCCAGCUGCUGAGGCCGGAUUUGUUUCAGCUGUCCCGAGAGACAGAGGGUCCCAGAUGCGAAACAAGACUUUCAGAGCAGAUGGCAUCUUGUGAAAGAUUCAGAUCACCCCCACUUCUCUAAUAGACUCUUUUAAGUUAUUUUAAGCUUUGUUAUUUAUAUAACUUAUAAAUUAUUGUAAAUUAAAAAUUCUGAUUGCUGGUGUCUUUUUAAAUAGCACAUCCUUACAUCCUGUUUUACAAGACUAUCUAGAGCAGAGGGGGUUCAAACUUUUGAUAUAAGGACCCCAAAUAUGACAUUCCCCUUCUGAGGGACCUCUAUUUCCAAAGAAAAAAUAAAAAAUAAACUUUUUUUAAAAUAUAUUGUCA